ensembl:lncRNA
GUGUAUUUAAACGUGCGCUGGCCACGAGGGGCGUUAACGUGAUGUUACGUGAGUGACGUAAACGUGAUGGCAAAAAAAAAAAAAAAAACGUAAACGUAACGUGAUGGCGCAAAUAACCACGAAGACGGAAGAAUAAUUCUGUUUAUUACAAAAGACUGAAGAUAUAACUGCCGCCAUCCUUUAAUUUAUUUAUUUCUACGUGGAGGACACUUUAUAAACCUACAGAGAUACCGGACCAACGAACGACCUUCACAACGGGACGGAGCUAACGUAAUUAACGUUAACGGUUACUUGGAAAUUCAAACAGUAACGGUCAUCUGACAACUGCGCUGAGCCAAAGGUAAGAAUAAAUGUGCUUUUUAUUCAUCGUUUUAUCAAUCUAAUGUUAAAUUUCACUUCAGUUUAAUAUUUCAAAUUAUUUAUUUGGAUUAUAAAGAUUAUAUAUUUUCAAAUUCCUCUUUUUGUAAUUGUACGUUACAUAACGUUAUCCCUGUUGGUUUAUUUGAGGUGGUCCAAGUUACAGUCUGAGGUAAAAUUAUGAUGAUCCUUUUUAACUAAGUUAUUAAAAUUGGUCACUAAAACAGGUAACUGUAUUUUUUCUUGAUCAAAUAAAGAAACGAUUUUAGAACUUAUAUUUUUUCUACUUUUCAGGACCGGAACAGCAACAAGAGUUUAACUUCUGAUUCGUAAUCUACACACUCUACAGGGCAGUUCAUGAAGACAGAUAGAUGUUGUGCCGACCAGGACAGUUCCUCCUACCACACCAGACUUUGCUGUAUAUGGAUGCCUGACCACUAGCACUGGACAUUUACAACAUUUUGGCGCCAGGGAUCCCUUGCAGAGAAGAUUUUUCAAAGACACCCUCAGAAUUACAACAGAUUUUAAGGCUUAAAAUUAUUGUGGGUGGGAGUAUAAUGAACAUAAUAUGAUUGUUUUAUUUUAUUAUUAUUAUUUAUUUUUAAAUAGUUCCCAUUUUUUAACAAUACAUUUGUUUAAUAAUACAGCACAAUAUAGGGCUAAGUUGCACCAGGUCAGGAAAAAACACAUAAGUUGCAUCCGUGUAUAAGACACAUUUUACUAUUAAUUUCAGAAAUAAUUUAAAUACUGAUAAAUAAAACAAACGUUAAGAAACUUAAAAACUAUGAACACUGUAAAGAUUUUAUUUUCCCUCACUUCAAAUCAUUUAAAUUGAAUACUAUUCAAAACAGAAUAAAAAUAAAAAUAUUUAGGCCUAUGUAUAAAAUAAAAAAAAUUCUAGUGCCAUUAUUUACAAGCAGU